ensembl:misc_RNA Metazoa_SRP Metazoan signal recognition particle RNA
GCCGGGCUUGGUGGCGGGUGCCUGUAAUCCAAGCUACUCAGGAGGCUGAGGCAGGAGGAUUGCUUGAACCUGGGAGGCGGAGGUUGCAGUGAGCCAAGAUAGUGCCACUGCACUCCUGCCUGGGUGAGAGAGCAAGACUCUGUCUCAA